AGUGCUUGCACUAAAUGAAACUAGAUACAAGCGAGCGGCGGACGGGUGAGUAACACGUGGGUAACCUGCCCAAGAGACUGGGAUAACACCUGGAAACAGAUGCUAAUACCGGAUAACAACACUAGACGCAUGUCUAGAGUUUGAAAGAUGGUUCUGCUAUCACUCUUGGAUGGACCUGCGGUGCAUUAGCUAGUUGGUAAGGUAACGGCUUACCAAGGCAAUGAUGCAUAGCCGAGUUGAGAGACUGAUCGGCCACAUUGGGACUGAGACACGGCCCAAACUCCUAC
rnacentral:rRNA from 1 species